UUAACGGUGAGACUGUAGUCCAGCAGAAUGGCGAGCCCCUGUCUUUAGCCCUCGCCACAGAAUCAACUGAUCCUGAUGUUGUGAUGGUCGAAUCAGACGGAAAACCUGCUGACGCUCAAACUGUUUCUGCAAUCCUUGAAACCAUCAUCCAGAAGGAAGAGGUCAAGGAAAGAAAUGAACAUCAACCAGAUGUAAGUCUUCCUGUCCCCGAUCCACAGCCGGAGACAGCUGACCUAAAGCAAGAAUCAGAAUCACUAACGGAGCCGAAGAGUGAGACUCUAGACGCGGGUCAACCUGAGGAAAACCAAGAGGACAGUAAAGAAGAAGAGAAUCCAGUUAUGAACUUCUUCAAAACACUAGUGACUCCCAAAAUAACCAAGGAAACAGCUACUCCUGAUGCCCCAAAAGAUCAGGUUGCACAAGUAUCUGAGCCGCCAGCAGCACUCAAAGGAAUGUCUAUCCCCCCACCACCUCCUCCAGAGCCACCGAAAAUGGAAAUUAAGGGAGAAACAGCUGCCAAACCUGUCAAACCCACACCCAAAGAAGAACCCAAAGCUGCUGCAAAGACACCCGAGUCCUCAAAAGGAAAAUCGGCCAGAUCCACUCUGAGCAAUCUCUUCCGUCCAAAGGUGCUGCUAGGUGUCAAGGUGUUCAAAUGCAAGGGCGCUUCAGCAAGUGGAGCCAAAGCCCCGGCCAAGACCGCAGCAGUGAAGGUGGAUCCCUCAAAAACUGGCACUCUGGAAGCUGCCGCAAAGCCAGAACCGCCACCGCCAGUUCAGGAGGAAAAGAAAAAAGCUUCAAAAUCAUCCUUCAUGUCUCUCUUCAAGCCCAAAGUACUGUUAGACCACAUGACCACAAAAGUCCAGGCAGCCUCCACAAGUGGAGUUCGGCUCCUCAGGAGAACAGCUGGAGUGGCUGUUGAUCCCAAAAGUGCGACCCCUGCCCCAGCUGCUGCAGCAGAGACGGUUAAAGCCAAGGAGGAACCCAAAGCAGCAGCCAAGUCAUCAGAGGCGGUUGUAGAAAACAAGCCUACAGUGGCCUCCCAAGCUGACGACGAUGCCGCCAAUGUGCCCAAGAAACUGGAGAAGAGGAACUCCAUCCAGCUGUUCUUUAAAAUUCUGGGUCAGAAACGUAACUCGACAGAUGCCGGGGUCCAGACAGAGUCCGCCCCUGUUGCUGCAGGAGCUGAGAAGGCCAAAUGAAACCAAAACCCACAGUGAAGUUUCCCUGUAAAAACUCCCUCUAUCUUCUUUGCUCUUACUCAAUCUUCAUAUCUCUCUCUCUCUGUCUCAUUUUCCCUUUCAACCCUUAUUGAAUUCCUUUAACUACAUGUUGUUGUUUGUGUUACUGUUUAGAAGUUACAAUGCGGGAGGAGAAGUGACUUUAAGGGUAAAAGCAAGUUGUGAGAACGUCAAACAGUGGACAGUUGAACAAGUGGUGAUUUGAAAGGGUCAAAGGCGAGGUUGUUGAGAUAUAUAAUAUUUUUGUUGGUCAUAUAAAUGUCUUGACAAGUAUAGAAAUGUGAGAGUGAAACCUUUUCUACAGACAUUUAAUGUGACUUCUCUCCGUUCUUGCGACCUAACUCGCUGGGCUGAAGCAAUAGACCACGCUUUGCUUUGAGCAAAUUAUUUAAAGAAAAAGGUUCUAUUUACAGAAACCAGACAGAAAUCAUACAGUUGUGGCAAAGUAGGUGUUAAUAUGAAAUUACAUUGAAAAAAAAGUACUUAAAUCUAUAUGACAUGAAAAUGACCAGCUGAUAACAGGAGCAUAUUUGUUUAACAAACUUCACUUACAGAUUUUUUUUAACUUUAUGCAAGCUACACGUAGACUAAAGCAUAUACUCACGUAUCCUAACAGUCAUGUAUUGGGCCAUAUGGGAAAAUCACAAUAUUUACUGUUCUGUGGGGAACUGAUUGUAAGUGUAACAGAUGCAUCUGAGGUGGCAAAACAAAAGGUGUAGUCAUAAAUCACAGUCGAUUAGCUUUUAAUUUGAUUACACUUUGUGUCGUGUAUUUUAACGGAAGUCUUAUGGUGUUAGUCAUUUGUGUUUGGCAUACGUGCAAUUAAUAUAAUGCUUUUGUUUGCCUACAUGUAUGUAUGCGUGUGUAUGUGUAACUUCAGCUAUCUUGAAGACAAUAAACAUGUUCACCAUUUGUUUGUUGUUCAUCAGUGAAGAGGAACGAGAAUAACUGGGUGUUGCGACAACUGCAGAAUAUGUGGAUCAGCAAGUUUGGCAAAAAUAAAAUCAUAUGCUACACUUCCAAAUCUUUUUUUGAUGUACACAAGAUAAAGCAUUAUACUUGUGAGCUAAGAGGGAGU
rnacentral:lncRNA from 1 species